rnacentral:rRNA from 1 species
GACGAGCUCUCCAAACGUUAUUCGGUAUCACUGGGCUUAAAGAGUUCGUAGGCGGUCUGGUAGGUGAGGUGUGAAAUCCCCCGGCUCAACCGGGGAACUGCGCUUCAAACCGCCGGACUUGAGGGAGACAGAGGUGGGCGGAACAGAUGGUGGAGCGGUGAAAUGCGUUGAUAUCAUCUGGAACACCGGUGGCGAAAGCGGCCCACUGGGUCUCAUCUGACGCUGAGGAACGAAAGCUAGGGUAGCGAACGGGAUUAGAAACCCCCGUAGUCC